CCUACGGGAGGCAGCAGUGAGGAAUAUUGGUCAAUGGGCGCGAGCCUGAACCAGCCAAGUAGCGUGAAGGCUGACUGCCCUACGGGUUGUAAACUUCUUUUAUAAAGGAAUAAAACGAGGCACGUGUGCAUUUUUGCAUGUAAUUUAUGAAUAAGGAUCGGCUAACUCCGUGCAAGCAGCCGCGGUAAUACGGAGGAUCUGAGCGUUAUCCGGAUUUAUUGGGUUUAAAGGGAGCGUAGAUGGGUUGUUAAGUCAGUUGUGAAAGUUUGCGGCUCAACCGUAAAAUUGCAAUUGAUACUGGCAGUCUUUAGUACAUUUGAGGUAGUCGGAAGUCGUGGUGUAGCGGGGAAAUGCUUAGAUAUCACGAAGAACCCCGAUUGCGAAGGCAGCCUGCCGCAGCGUUACUGACGCUGAAGCUCGAAAGCGCGGGUAUCGAACAGGAUUAGAUACCCUGGUAGUC
rnacentral:rRNA from 1 species